rnacentral:rRNA from 1 species
CUAGUAACGGCGAGUGAAGCGGGAAGAGCUCAAAUUUGAAAUCUGGCAGUCUUCGAUUGUCCGAGUUGUAAUCUAUAGAGGCGUUUUCCGUGCCGGACCGUGUCCAAGUCUCCUGGAAAGGAGUAUCAAAGAGGGUGAUAAUCCCGUACUUAACACGACCACCGGUGCUCUGUGAUACGUCUUCUACGAGUCGAGUUGUUUGGGAAUGCAGCUCAAAAUGGGUGGUGAAUUCCAUCUAAAGCUAAAUAUUGGCGAGAGACCGAUAGCGAACAAGUACCGUGAGGGAAAGAUGAAAAGCACUUUGGAAAGAGAGUUAAACAGUACGUGAAAUUGUUGAAAGGGAAACGAUUGAAGUCAGUCGUGUUCUUUGGAUUCAGCCAGUUCUGCUGGUCUACUUCCUUGGAACGGGUCAACAUCAGUUUUGUCCGGUGGAUAAAGGUAGUAGGAAUGUGACUUCUCCGGAAGUGUUAUAGCCUAUUAUCACAUACACUGGGUGAGACUGAGGACUGCAGCUCGCCUUUAUGGCCGGCUU